rnacentral:rRNA from 1 species
UACGUAGGGUGCAAGCGUUGUCCGGAAUUAUUGGGCGUAAAGAGUUCGUAGGCGGUUUGUCGCGUCGGCUGUGAAAACCCGGAGCUCAACUCCGGGCCUGCAGUCGAUACGGGCAGACUGGAGUUCGGCAGGGGAGACUGGAAUUCCUGGUGUAGCGGUGAAAUGCGCAGAUAUCAGGAGGAACACCGGUGGCGAAGGCGGGUCUCUGGGCCGAUACUGACGCUGAGGAGCGAAAGCGUGGGGAGCGAACAGG